GCUCGGCUUAAGUUAGCACUGGACAAUCUCUUGCCAGCUGAUGCUACAGAACAGUUCAAGUAUCAGAUACUGGUGGACCAUCUCAAGCUGGAAGAUGCCCUGCUGGUAGCUGACUCAUACAGCAACAGUCGGUUCCCAUACACCAGGACCAUGACUGCACUCACAGAACUGUACGGCCAGCCCCACAAGCUUGCCCUUCAGCGCAUCACUGAAGUGCUGGCUGAGCCACCAAUCAAGAGUGGGGACAUUAAAGGGUUCCGCCUGUUUGCUCUAAAGGUAAGAGCUUUAAGUGGCAUGCUAGCUCAGCUAGGGAAGGAGGGAAGAACAGAGCUUGAAUGUGGAUCACAUGUAUCACGCCUGCUAUCUAAGCUACCACAUGACUUGCGGGCUCAAUUCAAGAGGUUCACCAACCCUCUCCGGAUCCCCAUUCCGACAUUGCUGGACUUUGCAGAGUGGUUGGAGUAUGAAGUUCGAGUACAGGAGGAUGAGAUCACUGUCAGCCACCGUAGGACAGCAACAGAGACCAGGGCAGAAAGACAGAAGAGCUUCAGGACAAGGCAGACAGUAGGUACACGCUCCACCACUGUCUUAUUGGUCGACCCACCUACAGAGCCAUCCAAACCUGUGCCACCCAUAGAUCAGAAGGCAGAUAAGCCAAAGAAAUACUGCCCAUUCUGUGACAGCCAGCAGCACUAUUUCAAUCAAUGCAGUGCAUUUAAGCAGCUGUCCACAGAGCAACGCGUGAGCUGGAUCAAGGAUGGAAAAAAAUGCUGGAGAUGUGGGAGAGACCACCAAGCAGUGCAGUGCUACCUCAAGGCCAGAUGUCAAAAGUGCAAUGGCACACAUCUAGAAGUUCUACAUGAGGUGAAUAGUGCUACCAAGCCUCCCCAAAGGAUAACACCUACAUCUGCUCAGCCAGUGACAUAUUAUCUGGAUCCUGCACGGAGAAGCAACUGUGUGUUGCUGAAAAUGGUGGAAGUGUAUCUUCAUCACAAGGGAAAGCGCUUGAGGACUUAUGCCAUCUUGGAUGACGGAUCAGAGCGCACCAUCAUUCUCCACACUGCUGUUCAAAAACUGGGUCUCCAAGGGCCUGCUGAAGAACUGGCACUUCGAACCAUCCGCCAGGACCUUCGAGAAGUAUCAGGGAGGUCUGUGUCAUUCUCUGUGUCUGCUGUUGAUCAGCCACAGAAACUCUUCAGAAUCCAGCAGGCAUUUACCUCAACAGAGUUGGGUUUAUCCACCCACUCACAUCCGGUUGAGACUCUUCAGAAGACCUAUCGUCACCUCCGAGGUCUGCCACUUAACUCAUUUUCACAUGUCCAGCCCCUGCUUCUUAUUGGCUCAGACUACCCACACCUCCUAACUCCAGUUGAGCCAGUACACCUAGGCCCCCAAGGUGGACCAGCUGCACUCAGGACGCGUCUUGGCUGGACGCUGCAAGGUCCAGCUAAAGUCCUGAACCACCAAUCCUCCACAUCACAGUGCCUGUUCACCAGUCUAUCGCCAACAGCAGAGCUGCUCCAUCAUGUCUCUAAACUUUGGCAGAUGGAUGUCCUGCCCUACCGGAACGAGAAGAUCAUCACACGCUCCAAGCAGGACACAGCAGUUGUCAGGAUGCUGGAGGAGAAGACAGUCAGGGUGGAAGUGGAUGGUAUAUUCAGAUAUGCCACACCCCUCUUGUGGAAAGAAGAUGCUCUGCCACUUCGGGCACCCAAAGAAGCAGUCCUGGGCCAUCUGCGUGGGACAGAGAAACGGCUGGCUCAGGAUCCAGCUAAAGCUGGCUCAUACAAAGGAGAGGUGAGAAAACUUUUGGAUGCUGGCUAUGUGGAGAAACUUGCACCUGAUGCAGUCCAGAUGAGUACCGGAUCAUGGUACAUUCCUCACCACAUGGUCAAUCACAAUGGCAAGGACCGCAUCGUAUUUAACUGCUCGUUCACAUUUCAGAAUGGAAACUUGAAUGAACAGCUCCUUCCAGGUCCCACCUUAGGACCAUCCCUACUUGGUGUGCUGCUCCGUUUCAGGCAGCACCCAGUGGCUGUGAGCAGUGAUAUAA
ensembl:lncRNA